AUGUUAAACGGAUCGGAGAGGUCGAUGGAGAUGUUGAAGCGGUUACAGGAGGAAAAAGUAGUGGUAGAACUAGAUGAAGAAGACGAAGUACUCAUCAAAUCAAUAACUUUUAGAAACUCGAAAGAUUAUGUUAAACGGAUCAAAAAGGUCGACGACGACGAUGAAGAUUUUGCUAUACCAGGACAGUCAAGUGUCACAUCAAAGGUUCUAGGCGAGGUUUGUGCUCCGGAAGGGAUCCAGCCUACGCAUCGAGGUGCAGCCAACCGGCGACAUGGUCAUGUGCGCCACAGCCAAGGGGUGCAGGUGUCCACUGAUCUUCUGCACGAGAGGCAUAGUAGUUGUACACCAUCUUCGGUAGCUUCUCCUUAG
rnacentral:rRNA from 1 species